rnacentral:rRNA from 1 species
CACUGGGUCUCUUGUGACGUUGAGGCACGAAAGCUAGGGGAGCGAACGGGAUUAGAUACCCCGGUAGUCUUAGCUGUAAACGUUGUGCACUUGGUCGGAGAGUCCUCCAUAGCUUUCCGGUCGUAGAUAAAGUGAUAAGUGCUCCGCCUGCGUAGUAUGGUCCCAAGGCUGAAACUCAAAGGAAUUGACGGGGGCUCACACAAGCGGUGGAGGAUGUGGCUUAAUUCGAAGCUACUCGUAGAACUUUAUCCUGGGCUUGACAUGCUAGGAUUAACCUCCUGAAAGGGAGGCGACGCCUUCGGGUGGAACGUGCACAGGUGGUGCAUGGGCAUCGUCAGCUUGUGUCGUGAGAUGUCGGGUUAAGUCCCUUAACGAGCGAAACCCUUGUCACUAGUAGCCAGCGGGUAAUGCCGGGGACUCUAGUGAGACAUCCGGUGUUAAACCGGAGGAAGGUGGGGAUGACGUCAAGUCCUCAUGGCCUUUAUGUCCAGGGCUGCACACCUCCUACAAUGUUGCGUACAAAGGGAAGCAACUCGCGAGAGCAAGCAAAUCCCACAAAGCGCGCCCCAGUUCGGAUUGCACGUUGCAACUCGCCACAUGUCGCCGGAAUCGUUAGUAAUGGCAGGUCAGCAUACUGCGGUGAAUAUGUUCCUGAGCGUGGUACACACCGCCCGUCAAGCCACGAAAGUGGGGUGCAUCCGAAGUCGCCGUGGUAACCCUCAAGGGACGCAGCGUCGAAGAUGAACUCCCAGAUUGGGACGAAGUCCUAACAAGGUAACCAAGGGCGAA